UACGAAGGGGGCUAGCGUUGCUCGGAAUCACUGGGCGCAAAGCGCACGUAGGCGGAUUGUUAAGUCAGGGGUGAAAUCCUGGAGCUCAACUCCAGAACUGCCUUUGAUACUGGCGAUCUUGAGUCCGGGAGAGGUGAGUGGAACUGCGAGUGUAGAGGUGAAAUUCGUAGAUAUUCGCAAGAACACCAGUGGCGAAGGCGGCUCACUGGCCCGAUACUGACGCUGAGGUGCGAAAGCGUGGGGAGCAAACAGG
rnacentral:rRNA from 1 species